GACGAACGCUGGCGGCGUGCCUAAUACAUGCAAGUCGAGCGGAUCUUGUCCUUCGGGACAAGGUUAGCGGCGGACGGGUGAGUAACACGUGGGUAACCUGCCCAUAAGACUGGGAUAACAUUCGGAAACGAAUGCUAAUACCGGAUACGCGAAUUGGUCGCAUGGCCGAAUCGGGAAAGGCGGAGCAAUCUGCCACUUAUGGAUGGACCCGCGGCGCAUUAGCUAGGUGGUGGGGUAACGGCUCACCAAGGCAACGAUGGGUAACCGGCCUGCGAGGGGGGCCGGUCACACUGGGACGGAGACACGGCCCAGACUCCUACGGGAGGCAGCAGUGGGGAAUUUUGCGCAAUGGGCGAAAGCCUGACGCAGCGACGCCGCGUGAAUGAUUGAAGGCCUUCGGGUCGUAAAGUUCUUUCAGCAGGGAAGAAAGUGUAGUGGAGUAACUGUCACUAUUUUGACGUUACCUGCAGAAGCAGCCCCGGCUAACUCCGUGCCAGCCGCCGCCGUAAUAC
rnacentral:rRNA from 1 species